AUGGCACGAUGAACGCUCUAGUUCCCACAAUGGAUCACCGAAGUUAAGCUAGGUUGUGCUUGGUUAGUAUCCGGAUGUGUGACCGUCUGGGCAAUCGAGC
rfam:Asian citrus Psyllid, Diaphorina citri - Florida Strain, whole genome shotgun sequence.